rnacentral:rRNA from 1 species
AGAGUUUGAUCCUGGCUCAGAUUGAACGCUGGCGGCAUGCCUUACACAUGCAAGUCGAACGGCAGCACGGGUGCUUGCACCUGGUGGCGAGUGGCGAACGGGUGAGUAAUAUAUCGNGAACGUACCUUAUCGUGGGGGAUAACGCAGCGAAAGCUGCGCUAAUACCGCAUACGCCCUGAGGGGGAAAGCGGGGGACCGUAAGGCCUCGCGCGAUUAGAGCGGCCGAUAUCUGAUUAGCUUGUUGGUGGGGUAAAAGCCCACCAAGGCGACGAUCAGUAGCUGGUCUGAGAGGACGAUCAGCCACACUGGGACUGAGACACGGCCCAGACUCCUACGGGAGGCAGCAGUGGGGAAUUUUGGACAAUGGGGGCAACCCUGAUCCAGCAAUGCCGCGUGAGUGAAGAAGGCCUUCGGGUUGUAAAGCUCUUUUGUCAGGGAAGAAACAGCAGCUCUAACACAGUCUGCGAAUGACGGUACCUGAAGAAUAAGCACCGGCUAACUACGUGCCAGCAGCCGCGGUAAUACGUAGGGUGCAAGCGUUAAUCGGAAUUACUGGGCGUAAAGCGUGCGCAGGCGGUUAUACAAGACAGGCGUGAAAUCCCCGGG